rnacentral:rRNA from 1 species
UACGGGGGGGGCAAGCGUUGCUCGGAAUUACUGGGCGUAAAGGGCUCGUAGGCGGCCAACUAAGUCAGACGUGAAAUCCCUCGGCUUAACCGGGGAACUGCGUCUGAUACUGGAUGGCUGGAGUUUGGGAGAGGGAUGCGGAAUUCCAGGUGUAGCGGUGAAAUGCGUAGAUAUCUGGAGGAACACCGGUGGCGAAGGCGGCAUCCUGGACCAACACUGACGCUGAGGUGCGAAAGCGUGGGGAGCAAACAGG